rnacentral:miRNA from 1 species
GCAGACACAUUCCAGUCAAUCAGCAGCAGACCCUCUCUCCCAGACCCUCCCACCUCCUGGACAGCAUCCAUUUUGAAGCUGCAUUCUUAGUGAGCUGUCCAGGAGGUGGGAGGAUCUGGGAGGGAGGGUCUGCUGCUGAUUGGCUGGAAUGUGUCUG